GACGAACGCUGGCGGCGUGCUUAACACAUGCAAGUCGAACGGAAAGGCCCUGCUUUUGUGGGGUGCUCGAGUGGCGAACGGGUGAGUAACACGUGAGUAACCUGCCCUUGACUUUGGGAUAACUUCAGGAAACUGGGGCUAAUACCGGAUAGGAGCUCCUGCUGCAUGGUGGGGGUUGGAAAGUUUCGGCGGUUGGGGAUGGACUCGCGGCUUAUCAGCUUGUUGGUGGGGUAGUGGCUUACCAAGGCUUUGACGGGUAGCCGGCCUGAGAGGGUGACCGGCAACAAUGGGACUGGUAUACGGCCCAGACUACUACGAGAGGCAGCAGUGGGGAAUAUUGCACAAUGGGCGGAAGCCUGAUGCAGCAACGCCGCGUGCGGGAUGACGGCCUUCGGGUUGUAAACCGCUUUCGCCUGUGACGAAGCGUGAGUGACGGUAAUGGGUAAAGAAGCACCGGCUAACUACGUG
rnacentral:rRNA from 1 species